rnacentral:pre_miRNA from 1 species
AUGUAGGGCAAUCUGUCUUUAAGUAGGGAUAAAUUACUCUAAAAGAAAUGAAUCCUAGAUAGUUUUCCCUUCAAGUCAAACGUCUUGU